GUGGGGAAUCUUGCGCAAUGGGCGAAAGCCUGACGCAGCCAUGCCGCGUGAAUGAUGAAGGUCUUAGGAUUGUAAAAUUCUUUCACCGGGGACGAUAAUGACGGUACCCGGAGAAGAAGCCCCGGCUAACUUCGUGCCAGCAGCCGCGGUAAUACGAAGGGGGCUAGCGUUGCUCGGAAUUACUGGGCGUAAAGGGCGCGUAGGCGGACAGUUUAGUCAGAGGUGAAAGCCAAGGGCUCAACCUUGGAAUUGCCUUUGAUACUGGCUGUCUUGAGUACGGGAGAGGUGAGUGGAACUCCGAGUGUAGAGGUGAAAUUCGUAGAUAUUCGGAAGAACACCAGUGGCGAAGGCGACUCACUGGCCCGUUACUGACGCUGAUGCGCGAAAGCGUGGGGAGCAAACAGGAUUAGAAACCCGAGUAGUCC
rnacentral:rRNA from 1 species